rnacentral:misc_RNA from 1 species
CCUAAAUCGUCCUUCCUCAUUGGCACCACUAAUGUGAGUAUCUGCCAUCCAAAAUUCUCCUUUUUCCCUGUAAUCCCCAAGGUCACAGCUUUCAUGAACAUCGUUAUUAAAAUCAUAAUUAAAACCUGAAUCUUCAGAGGCAAACACAUUCUCAAAACCAUCAUUGUAAUAAUCUCCAAUGUCAUCAAAUUCAUCACUGCUAGCAUCAUCAGAAUCUCU